AUGGCUUUCCACCUAAGAUCGAUAAGUUUGCCUUCUAGGCCUCAUGCCACCGAGACUGAGAUUGAAGAAGAGAUGUUGAGCCUAGAGGCAAGCAUCUCUUCCUCCACGACCAUCGGCACGAUGUGUGAGGGUCUGAGGAGGCUUGGAGACAUCUACAAUGGUGUUGAAGAGAUCAUCUGCCUACCAAGCAGCCAAGUCUGCCCCUACCAUCAGAGGAUGGUGUUGGAUGGAGAAAUGGAAGGUUCUCUCGAACUGCUAGAUCUCUGUGGUGCCAUGCAAGAGAUCUUCGCCGAGAUGAAGGCCAUCAUCCAAGAGCUGCAAGUGGCUCUAAGGAAAGGGGAUGAUGCGGCUGCUCAAGCCAGGAUCCAAUCUUACACCCGCUUGACGAAGAAGGCCAAGAAUCAUUUCAACAAGACCGCGAAGAAGACUUCUGUAGAUUGCAGGAUGGUCAUGCUCUUGGCCAAGGCCAGGGAGAUCUCUGUCUCUCUGCUGGAGUCCACAUUCCGUCUCUUGUCAAAGCAAAUUGAAAUGCCUAAACAGUCUCUUGUUUCCAAGGCAUUUCACAAAAAGAAGUCAGUUGUUUGCAAGGAGCAACUGUUGGGGUUAGAGUGCAGUAUUGGAGAUCUUGAGAUCGGAGCAGGACAUCUUUUCAGGAAAUUAGUCCAGAGCAGAGUUUCUCUACUCAACAUCCUUAGCUCAUAG
rnacentral:rRNA from 1 species